GACGAACGCUGGCGGCAGGCUUAACACAUGCAAGUCGAACGGAAAGGCCACUUUCGUUGGUUACUCGAGGGGCGAACGGGUGAGUAACACGAGAGUAACGUGCCCUUGACGUUGGGGUAACGUCACGAAACGGGAGCUAAGACCGUAUAGGAUCUUCUGCUGAGAGGUGGGAGUGGGAAAGUUGCGGCUGUUGGGGAUGGACUCGCGGCUUAGCAGCUAGUUUGUGGGGUAGUGGCUUACCAAGGGUGUGACGGGUAGACGGACGGAGAGGGUGAUCGGCGACAUUGGGACUGAGAUAAGGCACAGACUCGUACGGGAGGAAGAAGUGGGGAAGAGUGAACCAUGCGUGGAAGCCUGAUGCAGCAAAGCUGUGUGCGGGAUGAAGCCGUCGGGGUUGUAGAAGGCUUUCGCUCAUGAAGCAGCUUUGUGUGACGGUAGUCGCUAAAGAAGCACCGGCUAACUACGUG
rnacentral:rRNA from 1 species